GGAAGUGAGGGGACACAGCAGUGCCCCAGGCCAUGGCCACCAGCCCCAGAGAGGGACAGAUCAGAGGACAGGGCAGGAGCAAGACUGCAGCCCUGGGCCCCUGCAGGGUGGUGUGAAGGAAGUGGGUACUGCACUCCUGCUGCCGCCAGGGCGUGGGGAGUCCGGAGGCCACAGUGAGAGCCAAGAGGUCUCACAGAGGACUAGAGGCUGCCUCAUCAGCACAGGAUCCCGCUGUGCUUGGAGAUGGCUGGACAGCCCUGCGCUUCCGGAGCACACAGUCACCAAGGACAGGGCACCCCCUCCUUCAAGAGCGCGUUACAGAGCUCGGAUAAGCAAGCCAAGGUCUCCCCACUGAGAGUGAAAAGUUCAUAAUGCUCACCAGCCUGCCUUCCGCCUGGGAUGCUCCAGGCCCUGCCUUUCUGUUUGGAGGCAAAUAUUGGACCCCAGGCUGCUGACAGGCCUCAGAUAGCCCUCAACCUGCUUUCUCAAAUGGGGAAACAGGCUCAGCAGCCAACAGGAAUUUACUAAGGUCACAAAGACACGUGUUUCAAGCCUCUCCUCACUGUUAUUUCCUGUAUCCCAGAGGCACCACUACAUCAGUGGUCUCCAGCCUUUUUGGCACCAGGGAGUGGUCCUGUGGAAGACACGUUUCCCAUGGGUAAGGAUGUGCAAGGGGUGGUUUCUGGAUGAUCCAAAGGAGUGCACAGCCUAGAUCCUUUGUGUGCGGUUCACACCAGAGCCCGGACUCUUCUGGGAAUCUGAUGCCUGAUCUGACUGGAGGCAGAGCUCAGGUGUUGACACAGCUAUGGGGGCGGCAGGAAACGCAGAUGAAGAUUCACUUGCUGUUCCCCCGUGGCCCGGUUCCUAACAGCCACAGCCUGGUGCAUGGCUGGGUGCUGAGAGUCCCUGCUCCAAACCUUGUGAAGGCUCCAAAGUCUACUCUGAGAAUCGAGGAGAGGAUAUUUGCGAGGUGGCCACAUCCCCACAUUCGGAUCCUGGGGCCUCUAGUUGGCCUUGGAUGAGAUGCUCACUUUCUCAGGACUCUGUUUCCCGGCCUAUGAAAUGCAGAUGUCCACAUCACCAACGUGACAGUGCUGAGAUGAGGCUGAGAAGGGACAAAGGGA
rnacentral:lncRNA from 1 species